AUAAUAAUUAGUUUUUUAAUUGGAAACUAGAAUGAAUGAUUGGAUGAGGUAUAAGCUUUUUUUUUUUAAUUUUUAUAAAAUUUAAAUUUUUAGUUAAAAAGCUAAAAUUUUUUAAAAAGACGAGAAGACCCUAUAGAUUUUUAUUUAAUAAAUAUUAAUUUAUUUUAAUUUUAUUAAAUUUUAUUGGGGGGAUAAAAAAAUUUAAUAAACUUUUUGAAUUAAUAUUAACAUUGAUGUAUGAAAAUUAAUUAAUAAUAAACUAUUUAAAUAAAUUAUAAAUAAAGAUUAAAAUACCUUAGGGAUAACAGCGUAAUUUUAAUUUUAAGAUCAUAUUAAAAUUAAAGAUUGC
rnacentral:rRNA from 1 species